GGAAUCUUGCGCAAUGGGCGAAAGCCUGACGCAGCAACGCCGCGUGCGGGAAGAAGGCUUUCGGGCUGUAAACCGCUUUCAGUAGGAACGAAACUGACGGUACCUACAGAAGAAGGAGCGGCCAACUAUGUGCCAGCAGCCGCGGUGACACAUAGGCUCCAAGCGUUGUCCGGAUUUAUUGGGCGUAAAGAGCUCGUAGGCGGUUGAGUAAGUCGGGUGUGAAAACUUUGGGCUUAACCCAAAGAUGCCACUCGAUACUGCUUUGACUUGAGUUCGGUAGGGGAGUGGGGAAUUCCUUGUGUAGCGGUGAAAUGCGCAGAUAUAAGGAGGAACACCGGUGGCGAAGGCGCCACUCUGGGCCGAUACUGACGCUGAGGAGCGAAAGCGUGGGGAGCAAACAGGAUUAGAUACCCUGGUAGUCCACGCGGUAAACGGUGGUCACUAGGUGUGGGUCUCUUCAAACGAGAUCUGCGCCGUCGCUAACGCAUUAAGUGACCCGCCUGGGGAGUACGGUCGCAAGGCUAAAACUCAAAGGAAUUGACGG
rnacentral:rRNA from 1 species